GAGGGGAGGGUCACACUGCCUAGGUGUUAAGCCCAGCAAUACAACUAAAUCCUUUUUUUAGGCAGAUCCCUAGCAACAGAAAAGAGUCAGAUCACCUAGAUGCUAGGUCCAGCAAUAUGUCACGAUAUUCCUUGAGGAAAGAGCCGAGGGCCAAGGCAGAAAACUUACAUCACCUUUGUGUUCGGCCCAGCAAUACAUCAAAAUCGCUCCUGUGGACACAACCUUGAAAAAAGAGAAGAGUCACAUCAGCUAGGUGCUAGGCCUAGUGAUAUGUCACAAUCCCCACUGUGAACAGGGAUAAGAACCAAGGCAGAGAUUAAUAGUCACAUCGCAUAGUUGAUGGAUGAAGAAACGUGUCACAAGACCCCCUGUGGUCAGGACUCAGGCAGGAGCCUCCCAUCCUUUAGGUGUUU